CAACAACAACUUGGCUGUAACACUUGAGAAGUUUAUUGAUUACACAGUCACUAAUGAACUAUGAGUGAAGACCUGUAUGAGUAUGAUUCUGAAGUAACUGAUGGCAGUGAUGCAGUUAUAGAGCCAUCUGACAAAGAAACACAGCCACCUCUGGAGGAAUGUGGUCAGGAAGUUGAAUGGUCCCAGUCACCAUUAGGAUAUUUUGUAAGUCAUGGCGAAGGUA